GCCUGGGUGGCUCAGUCGGUUGAGCGUCUGACUUCAGCUCAGGUCACGAUCUCGCAGUUUGUGAGUUCGAGCCCCGCAUCGGGCU
rnacentral:tRNA from 1 species